GAAAAAGUGGCAUCCCGCCUCGCUGCUCAGUCCUGGCGGCCCCCGCACACCCCACUCAGGCGGACGACCGCCACAGUGCGUAAAAGUGGGAGUCCGCCACGCUGCUCAGACCUAUGGCUACGCCCCCCACUCAGGCGGCCGACCACCAGAGUGCGUAAAAGUGGCAGACCACUGCGCUGCUCAACCCAGGGGGCCUUCCACCCCACUCAAGCGCCCGACCGCCAGAGUGGGACAUAGUGGCAGCCCGCCGCGCUGCUCAGCCCUGGGGUCCCUCACGCCACUCAGGCGGCCGACCAAAAGAGUGGGUUAAAGUGGCAGCCCGCCGCGCUGCUCAGCCCUGGGGGCCCCACCUUGACUCAGGCGGCAGACCGCCAUAGUGGGUCAAAGGGGCAGCCCGAUGCGCUGCUCAGCCCUGGGGGCGCCCCACACACUCUGGUGUCCGACCGCCAGAGUGGCCCAAAUUGGCAGCCCGCAGCGCUGCUCAGCCCUGGGGUCCCUCACCCCACUCAGGCGGCCGACAGACAGAGUGGGUCAUAGUGGCAGCCCGCCGCGCAGCUCAGCCCUGGGGGUCCAACCCUGACUCAGGCGGCAGACCACCACAAUGGUGAAAGUGGCAGCCCGCUGCGCUGCCCAGCCCGGGCGGGCCCCCCUCUACUCAGGCGGCCGACAGCCAGACUGGGUCAAAGUGGCAGCCCGCCAUGCUGCUCACCCCUGGCGGCCACCGCCAACUCAGGCUGCCGACCACCAGAGUGGGUCAAAGUGGCAGCCCGCCGCGCUGCUCAGCCCUGGGGGCCCUUCCAACCCACUCAGGCGGCCGACCGAUAGAGUGGGAAAAAGUGGCAGCCUGUCGCGCUGCUCAGCCCUGGGGGGCCUCCACACCCACUCAGGCGAUGGACGGCCAGAGUGGGUCAAAGUGGCAGCCCGCCGCGCUGCUCAGCCAUGGGGGCCCUCCCUCACCACUCAGGCGGCCGAGGGACAGAGUGGUUCAAAGUGGCAGCCCACCACACUGCUCAGCCCUGGGGGCCCUCCCCACCCACUCAUGCUGCCGACCGUCAGAGUGGGUCAAAGUGGCAGCCCACCACACUGCUCUGCCCCUGGGGCCCUCCCCCACACUCGGGUGCCCAAACAGCAGAGUGGGUCAAAGCGGCAGCCCACCGCGCUGCUCAGCCCUGGCGGCCCUCCCCCUCCACUCAGGCGGCCGACCGCCAGAGUGGGUCAAAGUGGCAGCCCGCCGCGCAGCUCAGUCCGGGCGGGCCCCCCUCUACUCAGGCGGCCGACAGAAAGACUGGGUCAAAUUGGCAGCCCGCCGCACUGCUCAGCCCUGGAGGCCCCCCCCUCCCCACUCUGGCUGCCGACCACCAGAGUGGGUCAAUGUGGCAGCCCGCCGCGCAGCUCAGCCCUGGCUGCCCCACCCUGACUGAGGUGGCAGACCGCCAUAGUGGGUCAAAGGGGCAGCCCGCCACGCUGCUCAGCCCUGGGGGACCUCUCCACACUCAGGCGGCCGACCGCCAGAGUGGGUCAAAGUGGCAGCCCGCCGCGCAGCUCAGCCCUGGCUGCCCCACCCUGACUGAGGUGGCAGACCGCCAUAGUGGGUCAAAGGGGCAGCCCGCCACGCUGCUCAGCCCUAGGGGCGCCCCACACACUCUGGUGUCCGACUGCCAGAGUGGCCCAAAUUGGCAGCCCGCAGCGCUGCACAGCCCUGGGGGCCCUCCUCCCACUCAUGCGGCCGACCGCCAGUGUGGGUCAAAGUGGCAGCCCGCCGCGCUGCUCAGCCUUGGGGUCCCUCACCCCACUCAGGCGGCCGACAGACAGAGUGGGUCAUAGUGGCAGCCCGCCGCGCUGCUCAGCCCGGGCGGGCCCCUCUCUACUCAGAUGGCCGACAGCCAGACUGGGUCAAAGUGGCAGCCUGCCGCGCUGCUCAGACCUGGGGGACCCACCCCCACUCAGGCGGCGGACCACCAGAGUGGGUCAAAGUGGCAACCCGCAGCGCAGCUCAGCCCUGGGCGCCCCACCUUGUCUCAGGCGGCAGACCGCCAGUGUGGGUCAAAGUGGCAGCCCGCCGCGCUGCUCAGCCCUGGGGUCCCUCACCCCACUCAUGCGGCCGACAGCCAGAGUGGGUCAAAGUGGCAACCCGCCGCGCAGCUCAGCCCUGGGGGACACAACCUGACUCAGGUUGCAGACCGCCAGAGUGGGUCAAAGUGGCAGCCCGCCGCGCUGCUCAGCCCUGGUGGCCACACCCCACUCAGGCGGCCCACCGCCAGAGUGGGUCAAAGUGUCAGCCCACCGUGCUGCUCAGCCCUGGGAUCCCUCACCCCACUCAGGCGGCCCACCGCCAGAGUGGGUCAAAGUGUUAGCACGCAUUGCUGCUCAGCCCCUGGGGACCUCCCCCACACUCAGGUGCCCAACCAGCAGAGUGGGACAAAGUGGCAGCCCACAGCGCUGCUCAGCCCUGGGGGCCCUCCCCCCACUCAGGCGGCCGACCGCCAGAGUGGGUCAAAGUGGCAGCCCGCCGGGCUGCUCAGCCCUGGGGGCCCUCUCCCCACUCAGGAGUCUGACCGCCAGAGUGGGUCAAAGUGGCAGCCCCACCCCCACUCAGGCGGCCGACAGCCAGAGAGGGUCAAAGAGGGAGCCCGCCGCGCUGCUCAGCCCCCCCAACAGUCAGGCGGGCGACGGCCAGAGUGGGUCAAAGUGGCAGUCCGCCACGAUGCUCAUCCCUGGGGGCCCUUUCCCCACCCAAGCGGCCGACCGCCAGAGUGGGUCUAAGUGGCAGCCCGCUGCGCUGCUCAGCCCUGGGGCCCCUCCCUCCCACUAAGGCGCCCCACCGCCAGAGUGGGUCAGAGUGGCAGCCCGCCGCGCUGCUCAGCCCUGGGGGCCCCACCCCCACUCAGGCGGCAAUCCGCCAGAGUGGGUCAAAGUGGCAGCCCUCCGAGGUGCUGAGCAUUGGCGGGCCCGACCCCCACUCAAGCGGCCCAUAGACAGAGUGGGAAAAAGUGGCAGCCCGCCGCGCUGCUCACCCCUGGCGGCCACCGCCAACUCAGGUGGCCCACCGCCAGAGUGGUCAAACUGGCAGCCUGCCGCGCUGCUCAGCACUGGGGACCCCACUCCCACUCAGGCGGCCGACCGCCCGAGUGGGUCAAAGUCGCAGCCCGCAGCACUGCUCAGCCCUGGGGGCGCCCCACGUAGUCUGGCGGCCGAUCGCCACAGUGGCUCAUAGUGGCAGCCCACCACGCAGCUCAGCCCUGGGGGUCCCACGCCCACUCAGGCGGCCGACCGCCAGAGUGGGUCAAAGUGGCAGCCCGCCGCGCAGCUCAGUCCGGGCGGGCCCCCCUCUACUCAGGCGGCCGACAGAAAGACUGGGUCAAAUUGGCAGCCCACCGCACUGCUCAGCCCUGGAGGCCCCCCCCC
ensembl:lncRNA